rnacentral:rRNA from 1 species
CUUAAAUCUAAGAACUUUCAAUAAUCGAUAGCGAACAAGUACCGUAAGGGAAAGGUGAAAUAGAACUUCUUUAGGAUGAAAAGAAUCUAAAAUUUAAUGCAUAUGAUCUGUUGAAGCUUUUAUCAAAAGUGACAGCGUACCUUUUGCAUAAUGGGCCAAUAAGUUUAUAUAUAUAGUGAGUUUAAGUUUAAAAACAAGACGAAGCGAAAGCAAAUUUUAAAAAAUGAUAGAAUUAUAUAUAUAAGACCCGAAGCUGAGUGAUCUAACCAUGAACAGGCUGAAAAAUGGGCAGAAAUGCUAUUUGGAGGGCCGAACUCGUGUCUGUAGAAAAAGAUUGGGAUGAUUUGUGGUUAGGAGUGAAAGGCUAAUCAAACUCAGGGAUAGCCGGUUUUCUGCGAAAUAUAUCUAAGUAUAGCCUACAAAAUAUUAUUAAUGGGGUAGAGCACUUUUGGAAUAAGGGGGGUUUUAAUCUUACUAAGUUCUGAAAAACUCCGAAUACGUUAAUUAAUUUUUGUGGAGUCAGACAAUAGGCGCGAAGGUCUAUUGUCAAGAGGGAAACAGCCCAGACUAUUUGAUAAGGUCUUGAAUUAUUAGUUAAGUGAUAAGAAUGUAAAAAAAUGAUGACAAUUAUAAAGUAGGCUUGGAAGCAGCCAUCUUUUUGAGAAAGCGUAACAGCUCAUUAAUCUAGUUUUUUUGCUUCGAAAAUGUCAGGGACUUAAACAUAUAACCGAAUCAUUAGAAAAUGGUAGCAGAACGUUCGAUAUAUCGAUGAAGAUAUUUUGUAAAAAAUAUUCCAGAUAUUCGAAGUGAGCAUAUUGGCAUUAGUAGCUGAAACAAUGUUUAAUCAUUGUCGCCGAAAAUCUAAGGUUUUUGAUACAACACUGAAUGUUAUCAAUAAAAAACGGACCCUAAGGCAAAUUACAAAAGUAUAAGCUAAUGGGAUGAAUAAUGUGACGGGGUAUAUAUUUUAUUAAUUCUAAAUCUGAAUAUGAAUUGGUAUUUGAAUAUCUCCAGGAAAUAGCAUUAUAACUAAAAACCGUACCCUAAACCGACACAGGUAGAUGCGUAGAAUAUACUAAGGCGUUCAAGAAAAUUAUGUUGAAGGAACUCGGCAAAUUAGCUCUGUAACUUAGGGAUAAGGAGUGACAUAACUGGGUAACCAGAAAAUGUUGACACUAAAGAGGAAGAAACGACUGUUUAACAAAAACACAAGUCUCUGCUAAUUCGAGAGAAGAUGUAUAGAGACUGACACCUGCCCGGUGCUGUAAGGUAAUGUGGAGGUGCUUAAGCACCGAAAUUAAGCCCCAGCAAACGGCGGCUGUAACUCUGACGGUCCAAAGGUAGCGAAAUUCCUUGUCGGGUAAGUUCCGACCUGCAUGAAUGGUGUAACGAUUUCUUCACUGUCUCCAACAUAAUCUUGGUGAAUUUGAAAUGUCCGUGAAGAUGCGGACUUCUUGUGGUUAGACGGAAAGACCCCGUGCACCUUUACUAUGAUUUUAAGUUGCAGAACUGUAUAACUUGUGUAGAAUAGAUGGGAGCGUAAGCAAAAAUGAAAUACCAUCCUUGAUAUACUGUUUUGCUCAAUUCUUUUUAGAAGACAGCUUAUGAAAGGUAGUUUGACUGGGGCGGUCACCUCCUAAAGAGUAACGGAGGUGUGCAAAGGCAAAUUCAAGUUUAAUACUGUAGAGUGUAAUGGCACAUAUUUGCUUAACUGUGAGAUUGACAAAUCGAACAGAGAUGAAAGUCGGCCAUAGUGAUCCGGUGGUUCAAAGUGGAAUGACCAUCGCUCAACGAAUAAAAGGUACGCCGGGGAUAACAGGCUGAUGGUUUCUGAGAGUCCUUAUCGACGAGACCGUUUGGCACCUCGAUGUCGGCUCAUCACAUCCUGAAGCUGAAGAAGGUUUCAAGGGUUCGGCUGUUCGCCGAUUAAAGUGGUACGUGAGCUGGGUUCAGAACGUCGUGAGACAGUUCGGUCCCUAUCUGCCACAAAUGUAGAAAAUUGAAAGGACUAAAUCCUAGUACGAGAGGACCGGAUUAAGUAAACCUCUGGUGUAUCGAUUGUUACUUCCGUAGCAUGGUCGAGUAGCUAAGUUUAUAAGAGAUAACUGCUGAAAACAUAUAAGUAGGAAACUUCCCUUAAAACAAAUUUUUAAAAAUCGUAGAAGAAUACUACGUUGAUAGGUCUUAAAUGUAAAAGCUGUAAGGCUUGAGUUU